AAGUCGUAACAAGGUUUCCGUAGGUGAACCUGCGGAAGGAUCAUUAACACGUUCUAAACGUAUCAACCAACCGCGAACUCUGACGUUAGUAACCUCUUUCAGAUCUUCGGGACUGGGAGCCUGAGCAUGUUAGGGGAAAGUGCUGUUUAGGGGCUUGUCUCCUCUACACAGGCUUCCUUUAACACUGUUCAUAUUAACCAAACCAUAUUUGUUGUUCAUUUCUUCUGUUCUAAAGGACGUGGCGUUCUAUCGCUAUUGUCUCUUUAUUACAAACUUGUACAACUCUUAGCAACGGAUGUCUUGGUUUCC
rnacentral:misc_RNA from 1 species